UACGUAGGGUGCGAGCGUUGUCCGGAAUUAUUGGGCGUAAAGAGCUCGUAGGCGGUCUGUCGCGUCGGUCGUGAAAACUUGGGGCUUAACCCUGAGCUUGCGGUCGAUACGGGCAUGACUGGAGUUCGGUAGGGGAGACUGGAAUUCCUGGUGUAGCGGUGAAAUGCGUAGAUAUCGGGAGGAACACCGGUGGCGAAGGCGGGUCUCUGGGCCGAUACUGACGCUGAGGAGCGAAAGCGUGGGGAGCGAACAGG
rnacentral:rRNA from 1 species